UUAUGUUGAUAAUUAGUUAUUAGUCAAGGGAUUAUAAAGUGUGAUUAGCUCCAAUUAAUAAAGGAAAAUUUGAGAAGUUAUUCAAGUGUCAAGAGAAUUUAAAUUAAGUUCUAUCAUUAGAUAUUAAGGUUUCUUGAUUAGAUAGAGGAUAAAUUGGUUAUUAAUAUCGUAUUUCAGGUGGUGACGAGGAAAUUGAAAAUGUUUAUCAGGCAAUCUAGCUUGUAGCUCCUACCUUGAGACCGUUGAUUUUUGAGAUACUUGGAAAAGUCUGCUGAAGCGAAAGAGACCGUUUCAUAGUAAGUCAUGCGUGGUCGAGGCAGAACUCGCAGGCACCAAAAUCCAGUAUCUCAAGCUCAUAAUACUCCUGAAGAAAGACAUGUUGGAGGGGUCAGUGGGGUUGCUGAAUCAGUGCACCAUUCUCAGGUGCAACCU